GGGCUGCACGCGCGCUACACUGACGGAGCCAGCGAGUCUAACCUUGGCCGAGAGGUCUUGGUAAUCUUGUGAAACUCCGUCGUGCUGGGGAUAGAGCAUUGUAAUUAUUGCUCUUCAACGAGGAAUUCCUAGUAAGCGCAAGUCAUCAGCUUGCGUUGAUUACGUCCC
rnacentral:rRNA from 1 species